rnacentral:lncRNA from 1 species
UCCCAGGCUAGGGGUUGAAUCAGAGCUAUAGCUGCUGGCCUACAAUGCAGCCAUGGCAAUGCAGAAUCUGAGCUGUGUCUGUGUCCUACACCACAGCUCAGGGCAAUGCAGGAUCCUUAACCCAUUGAACGAGGUCAGGGACAGAACCCUCAACCUCAUAGAUACUAGUCGGCUUCGUUACCACUGAGCCAUGACGGAAACUCCCUUACCAUCUUUUAAAAGGCUUCUUGAAAUAAGAGGCUGCAUUGCUCCUUGCCAUAUCUGUGUGGGAAGGGCUCAAUAAACAUCUAUCAAGUGAAUGGAUAAACUUCAUGAGAGCAAAAUAUGAUGCCAGCACCAAGGUCCUUGACUCAGGAGCUGUCCAAACAGUUGUGUGGAUGCUGAAAGACCAGGCUGCCAUGGGUAAAGGGUGUGGACCAAGGGACUUAAUGCCCCUGCCAAGAGGAAGAGUCUAUGAUGUUAUGAUGAUUCUGUACCAAGUAAGUCUUCUUUCUCAUUACUUUUUUUAAAGACUAGAAAUUAACAAUGUUUAAAAAGACCAUAUAGUAAAUUCAAAAGUGAACGGGUGGUAUUAUUUUGCCUUCUCUUUCUUAGCAGACAUCAAAACACUUCGGUUACCUAUUGUUUUGUGUUAUGGUGACAGAGGUCACUGACUGAUGAAGAUCUAAACCAGCCUUGUGCUCUAGACAUGUACACCUGGUCUCUGUUCCUCAGCAGAUGGCCUCUGAUUUUUUUUUUUUUUUAACCAUGACUACUACACCAAGCAGUUAGAAGAAACAGGAUGAUGACAAGAACAAUUUUUUCUCUCCUUUGUGCAAUUUUUAACAGGAAGCUAUUCAUGUUUAAGGCUUUUAAAAAUACUAAGUCUUAACGGUGAGUGUGUGAAAGAAAAUCACUUCAUAGUUUCUGGCAUGGUUGGCGGCAUUAAAAGAGCUCUGGAUGUUGAAUGACAUCACAGUUUUAAACCUUCCUGAGAGACUGUUAUUUCCUCACUAAUUCCCCUUAAGCAAAAUAUUUAAGAUCAGUAUGAAGUUAAGAGAUUCCAGCUUUUUCUUCUGAGGAUUACCUUUCAUGGAAAUGAUAAAAUGGAAAAAUAAUUACUCCCCAAAAUCCAAUAAAAAAGCCAAAUCCUCCUAGAAAAUCCAGAGAUAGCAUUACCCUUCGGUACCCUCCACUUAUCAGGGGGGAGAGAAAGAAAACUUCCCUAGAUCCAUUCAAAUACAAAAACAUUCUUCGCGACAUUGAAUUUUAUAAAAUCCCAUUGUUAAAUACUUCCUCUCAAACUCCUGCCAAAUGGGAGGAUUACUGCUGAAACAGACAAGGAAUAUGUGACCUCCUCCUCCUCCCCUGAUGAACAUCAGGGUUACACUUUGGCCCAUGUACAGAUCUAUUUUCUACAAAGGAUGCAGCUUUUCAGAGAUGUGAAGGAUCUGGAAUAAGAACACUGGCCCUCAUCAACCCACUUCCUCUAUUGGAAGGGAGUCUCCCAAAUAGUCCUCAAAAGGAAACGCUGGGAUGAAGUCACCCAGGUUUAUAAAGUAACAGUAGCCGGAUGAUGGGAUCGUCUGAAAAGUGAUGCAAGGCACAGCGGUCAGACCCAAAGUUCACGGGGACUUUUCAUAAUGCAAUUUUAGAUAAAUAUUUGCACAGAUGUACACACAUAUUUAUUUGUUUUGCUUCAACUGGACUCAUCCGAGUGCUGUUUUUUUAAAAUAUAAACAGUGGGAAACUGCCAUAGUAAUGACUAGUCAAAGACAGCAAUUAUUUGCAAGAGCUAAAAGUGUUCAUUUAAUAAAAAGUAGGAAGCUGUGUGGGAGAAAAAGGAGUGAAAUUCUCUAGUAAGUGAGGCCAGUUGGAAUUUAAUAAUUCACUUUGGCUAUCAUAUUUGUUUGGUCAGCAGGCCAGCAUUUUUGCUGGGCUGCGCAGUGCCAGGGAUGGUCUUCACCUAAAACACCCAGCGUGUUAAGAGAGGGACUGUUUCUAGCCAAGCUGAAUAAAUACUACCACCUCAGCCCUGGAUAUAUACUGUUCAUUACAUAUCUCUGAGCAUAUGCGAAAAGUCCCGAAAGGAUUCUCGUUAGUUCAACCAUUAAUCUGGCUGAGAUGUCAUCAGAUUAUUUGAAAGUGUGUUAGGAAGCAGUGUUUCAGCAGUGGCCUAUGUGUCAGCAGAGAGAUAUGCUCCUAUUAUACAAUAUAAGACAGUCUCCAGACUAUAUUUUUAACAUCUCCUUAGUAAUAUAAACAGAGAUCAGGACAUGGAAAGCUCUCUUUUUAUGAAGCAAUGUUUUUAACUCUUCAAGAAUAUUUUCCUCAGCACUCUUCAUUGAAAUUGACUUUCUUCUUUCAAAGGUGAAGAGAUGCAAGAAGUGGAGUGAUUAUAGAGUGUGUAUAUGCUGCUAUAGUAAUCAAAGUGGAUCACUUUGUAACUGAUGCUCAGAAUACUAUAAUUACGCCAACAGCUCAAAUUUAUAAAAAAAACUUGCCACCUAUGGAAGGUCCAUAAGGGAGGCCGGAAUGCAAAGAAAUGGAAAGUCUAAGAAUAUGCAGCUGCCCAUAUGUCUGCAUUCAUCUACUCACACAAAUAUCUUUGCUUCCUGUGCUUUUUCAUGGGUUCUCUUGUGUUUGACUCUUAAACAUAAUUUAGUUAGCUGAAUUAACACUUCACCAGAAUGAACUCUGCAUUAGUUAGCUGCGGUCACCUAGAGGCCACAGACCUGGUUUUUCAUGGAGCAGAUGGUCAGAUACUGCCUAGCAGAUAUUUAUCCUAUGGUAAAUAUAUGACAGACAUGUUAGUGAAAGGUAAUCUACAUAUUCUUUCAGGGGAGGAGAAUUAGGUGUCUGGACAGAGAAACUUCAUGAAGAAGCAGUCGGUCAUAACCCUGUGCAAUUAGAGUCUCAGGUACUUAGAGAAGCCAGCAGCCUGCACCUCAGACAGCUGGAGGGCAACCUGGUGGUCCCAGGAUGGGAAGUGCCUUCCUGGUGGCACCUGGGGAGCUGGCCUUUUUAUAGAGUGUACAAGAGGCAAGGGAUCGCCUAGGAGAAAUGGCUGAGGAAGACACGAAGCGCAAGUUUGAAUUUAGGGCAAUAGCAGAUUGAGAGAUGGAAAAAUCCUCAAACUUGUACUAAAAGACCUGAUCAAGGAGCCCCAAUACUGACAGGGGGUGUGGAGUGGGGGGGAGGAGAAAAUCAGCCAGAGUCAGUUCCCUCAGCCACAGGCAUCUGUGGACUUGGUCAAGGCCCACCCUCCCCACCCCCACGCUGGAAGACUGAAAGUCAGCAUUGGGGCACAAUCAAUUUGAUGGAUAGGAAUUUUUCUUCCAAAAAAAAAAAAAUUUAGAAAAUGGUGAUGUGUUUUCCUCUAGCAGUUCUUCUAGUCCUUGCUGAAGAGAGCACCUGUGAUGUAGAAAAAUAACAUCCUAUGACAGCUACCUUUGUCAAAAUAGCCUCUCCUUGUGCACACCUGCAGAGCCAGACUUCAGGGUCUCCUGGGCUAGGGACGGCUCAGGCCAUCGUGAUCUGAAGCAUCCUGGGGCUGGAGAGGACACCAAGACGGCAGGAGACAAGGGCAGCAUUAGACAGCCCUCUUUGAACAGAAUAUAUAAUUUCAUUUAACAGCUGCGGAAGCUCAUUAACUACGCUGGCAUGAAUGAGUCUUCACGACAAAAAGAAAGAAAAACGGCAGCCUAUUUACAGAUGCAGCAGAGCCGGCUCUUGUUUUCUAGCUUUCAAGGGAAACAAAACAUUUCUGCAUAAUAACUUGAUCCUAUAAUUCGACACUAUUUCAGAGCCGAGCUUGCCACACACUUAAAGAGAUACUUGUUUUUGCACAUUUUCAGAACCUCUGCAGUGUUCCAGCCCAGUUUCCAACUGGCGAGCUGGUGACCAGCGCCCUCCUGACUCAAGCCGCCGCCCUACUCCUUCUGGUCCUAAGUUUGAGGAAAGUAUAGCCCAGAUACCUUCCACAAGUCUCCCAGCUUAAAUUGGCCCUUCUUCCUUAUGCAAUAGCCGGCACCUUUUAUUUUUACGUUAGGUUCCCUGCCGCUAACUGAAUGACCUUGAGCAGGUCACUUAGCCUUGCUGUGCCUCAGUUUCUUCCUCUGUAAUGGCACUGACCUCACAGUGCUCCUGUGAGCAUUACACUGUCAGUACGAAGCACCUAAAACAAUGCCCAGCACAGAGCACACUAUAAACAAAUAUCAGGCUGUAUUUCAUUAUUACAACAGCUACUUAAGGCGUCAUUCAGCACUAUUACUUAUUUCACAUACAUAUUGUCAACUCCAAAAUUGUUGGAGAGCACAUACUAGCAUCUAGGAGGAGCAGGGGGCAUGCUAGAGCCUCUUCUCUCCCUCCUCCGUAUCCCUCAUCUGCCCAGACAUAAGCACAAGGGAGAUGCUGUAUGGCCCCACCCCGGACACACAGAGGAGGGAUGAGGCUGUUGCAGGUCACUGGGCUCAGCCGAAGAUGCACUGGAAACGGGGCCAUAGUAUUUGCCUCAUUGGGAAAAACUUUCUUACUCCCAAGAGUAGGCAGUAAGAGGUGCUCUGGAAGAGGUCCCUGUUUUUAUUUCUCUUUCAUGUUCUCAGAUAGUCUUCCCUCUCCAGAAUCUCUGGUACUAGAAUGGCCCCAUAGGGGGCUGCAGUCGAAAAUCCAUUUGUAAGUUUUGAUUCCCCCCAAACGUAAUAACUAAUAACCUUACUGAUAACAGUUAAUUAACACAUAUUUUGCAUGUUACAUGUGUUAUAUACUGUAUCCUUACAAUAAAGUAAGUUUAAAGGAAAUACUAUUAUGAAAAGCAUGAGAAAAUAUAUUUACAGUGCUGUAUUGUUUUUAUUGAUACUGUAAAUUUGUAUCAACUGUUUAUAAGAUGAAUCAUCUGUCAGUAUCAACAUCAAUAUUAUAUGACACCAAACACUGUAGAUGUUACAUGUAUUACUAACACUAGACAUCAAAAAUGAAAAGAUAAUGUGAAAAAGAAAUUUGUAUUUAUUUACAGGUAUAAAGAUUCACACAUUGGUAACAAAGAAGUAGCAAUAUGAUUGCUGUGUGGUAGCCUUGUGUAAUUGAUGCAACUGCCUCAGGGUAGCCUAGCUUAUACACUAAUGAAUGCAUCAUCAUUAAAACUUUUACAGUUGCAGUAUUCCAGUCAUAUUAAUAAUACAGUAUUGGAAACUUAAAAAAAAAAUACUGAUGACAAGCUGACAUGCAGUUUCUCCAUGCUGUACAGUAAUGUAAUUCUUUGAAAGCAGAAUAACAAAGCAGUAAGAAAAUGAACACAUUGGAAACUUUAUAUUAAAUAUCACUCAUCUUAAGCUUGCUAAGGACAGGCUGUCCACUUCAGUACAAGUCUUGCACACGAUGGGUGACACAAUCAACGAUGGUGAGAACACACAGACGUCUGUGCAUUCAUUGCUGUACGAUUCUUGGGUUUUCACACCAAGACACUCAUACACUCACACCAGUUAAGUUUAUCAACUGUACAGUACAACGACUAUUGAUGAUUGAGUACGUGGAAGUGCGUCAUCCUUGUUGUCUGCACAUUGAGUAGACUGAGGAAAGGCAGGGGAUGGCUUGUCUCAGGGUUGGCAGAAGAUGGAAGGGGAACCAGGAGAGGCAGGCACACUUGGUGUCACUUUAUGUAAACACAUCAUGACAUUUGACUUUUUUGCUUUACAUUUCUCUAAAAAUUUUUCUGACCAGUACUGAUCCUUCUUCCACUGUUCUCUUGGGUUUCAGUGCCCAUAUCAUGGAAGGCCCUACUUUGGAAAAGUAGUCAAAAGCAGUCCUGAAUCAUCAGAACCCUCUACCGGACUAUUAAGUUUGUUUCUAGCACUGGUUGGGAUGCUCUCAUCUCCAUCAGGUUAUGCUCUGUUGAUUCUUCUGGUGUUUGUCUAUUAGUUCUUGAAUUUCUCCGAGAUCCUUAUUUUGAAACCCUUUGCCUUUUUUUUUUUUUUUAAAACCAUAUCUACAAUCUCUUUUCUGAUUUCCUUGAUUGGGUCUGUGGUAAAUCCUGUGAAGUCAUGCACAAUAUCUGGACAGUAUUCUCUUGUAGGGAUGAAUUGUUUGGAGCUUGAUGGCUUUCACGGCUUUUUCUGUAACAACAAUGGCAUCUUCACUGGUGUAAUCCUCCCAGACUUUAAGGAGGGUUGGGGUUCUCUAACAUCUAGUUGACUAUCCUUUCCAUAGACUGCUGUGUGCAACGAGCCUUAAACCUCCGUAUGAUCCCCUGAUCCAGGGGUUGAAUUAUUGACAUUGUACUUGGGGGCUUGCCAAGAUCACUUUGACACCUUCAGUGUUGAACUCAUGGGGUUCUCGGUGGCUGGGGGUAUUGCCCAAUAUGAAAGAACCUUUAAAGGUAGUCCCUUGCUGGCAAGGUACUGCCUGACUUCAUGGACAAAGCACAAAUGGAACCAAUCCAGAAAGUGUUCUUGUCCAGGCCCUCUUGAUGUACAACCAAAAGACGACAGCUGAUGUUUGUCUUCUCCUUUUAAGGCUCAGAGGUCAGCAGCUUUAUAGAUAAGGGCAUCCCUGAUCAUAAACCCAACUGCAUUUGCAUUAAACAGUAGAGUCAGCCUAUCCCUUCCCGCCUUAAAUCCUGGUGCUCACUUCUCUUCCUUACUAAUAAAUGUCCUUUGCGUUUUUUGUUUUUCCCAGAAUAGGGCACCUUUGUCUGUAUUAAAACCCUGUUCAGGUAGAUGUCCUUUGUCCUCAGUGGUUUUCCUAUGAUGUCUGGGAACCUGUCUGCUACCUCUUGGUCAACAGAAGCUGCUUCUCCUGUUAUUUUAACACUUUUUAAAGCCAAACUUCAUUCUCAAGUUAUCAAACCAUCUUUGGCUGGCUUCAAAUUCUCCAACUUUAAAUCCUUCACCUUCCUUUUGCUUUAAGUUGUGGUAUAUGACUUUGCCUUUUUUGGAUAUUAGAGUCUAUAAGCAUGCCUUUCUUACAGUGAUCCUAUGCUCUCAGAAAAGAUGCAUUUCCAAUGUAAUAAAAUGGUGCUGGUGUAGCUGUAGUGGGAACUACACCAAUUU